GUCUUUUAAUUGAAGUCUGGUAUGAAUGGUUUGAUGAAAGAUUUACUUUCUUUAUUUUAUAAAUAAAAUUUAAUAUCUGAAUUAAAAAGUUUAGAUUUUAUUAAAGGACGAGAAGACCCUAUAAAACUUUAUUAUUAAUAUAUUAAAAUAAUGUUGGUUACUUUUUUUAAUAUAAAUAUAAUUUGAUUGGGAGGAUAUAAAAAAUUAUAUAACUUUUUAUAUUUUAAUUAUUUAUUAAUAUUUAUUUGAUCCUUUAUUAAGGAUAAUAAGAUUAAGUUACUUUAGGGAUAACAGCGUUAUUGCUUUAGAGAGUUCAUAUCGAUAAAGUAGUUUGCGACCUCGAUGUUGGAUUAAAAUUAGUUAUAGGGGUAGAUUAUUAUUUACUAGGUCUGUUCGACCUUUAAAUUUUUACA
rnacentral:rRNA from 1 species